GGAAUCCCAAAUUGUCAGCAACCCAUCACUCCCAGGCAAAAUCCAAACUGCUGGGCUGUCCCCUUGGACUGAUUUGUGUGCUGGCUUUUGGGGACAGCUAUCCUCUGCACAGUGGACACCAGGCUCUGUUAAGCCGACCUCUGAUGUGCCUUGAGGUUGGUUACCUUGGCAAGCUGUGUCCCAGCCCCUCUGUUGGAAGACCUGAGCCACUGCAAACUGCUUUGGGGGCAGCUCAACCAAGGCACGUCCACAGCGCAACAUGCCCCACACAAGUCCAACAGCCCAACACUCCUUUCCAACGCAUAGGCCUGUUUUCCGCAGAAGGCACACAACUCACACAUGCUCCGUUUCCAUUUUGCAACCUCACAUCCGUAGGUUUUUCUAACAUUGUUAUGUCCAACAAAUUGCAUCUUUUGCGGCACAUGAUAAAAAGAACUAGGUUAAGCUGAAAUCGUGUAGCCACUUCCCAUGGCCUGGUGAGGAAAUCAGAGUGUGUUUUGCUUUGUAUUCUAUUCCCACCUCAAAGGCGGGAUUAAAAUAGCACUGCUUGUCACGUCUCAUUAUGGAAAUCGGUGUGGCCCUCACAGGGGCGCAGUCAGUUCGGGACUAGGAGCUGCUCUGAAGGUGUGACCUGCCUGCAGUCCAAGACCACAACCUGUCAUUUCAGAGCAGGGAAGACCAGCC
rnacentral:lncRNA from 1 species